GCUACCAUUUGUCACCGCUGCACAGCGCUAGCGUAUGUGUGUGUGUGUCGUCAACUUUUUAGCGGUGUACUGUUUACUGUCGUUUUCGUUUUCACUUUGUUUUUGUAGAAUAAUGGAGUGGUCAAGGCAACAAAUUGUCGAUUUAAUUGCAAUGUACCAGGGGGAGGAUUGUUUAUGGAACGUCCGGAGCAAGGAUUACAAAAAUACCGUUAAAAAACACGAUGCACUUGCAAAAAUUGCAACAGCUUUUGGCACGGACAAGAGAAGUGUUGAGAAGAAAAUACGAUCGCUCGUGGUUGCGUACAGGCGCGAGAAAAGAAAAAUUAUUGCCAGCAGACCAUCUGGUAGUGGUGCAGACACUGCAUAUGACUCGAACUGGUUCGGCUAUCGGCUGCUGCAGUUCUUGGACGAUGUACAUGAGCCAAAGGAGACAACAGAUACUGUGGAAAAUGAGGUUUUCGUACAUUCGCCAGAGGGCACAAAUGAGGAUGAAGAGGUUGCAGCUGGACCUUCCAGUCCUCCACCACCAAAAAUCAGAAGGAUGAUGAGCGAGAAAAAAGACAUGCAGCAACCCUUCAAGAUUUCGUCUCAAUUGCUAACUAAAGUGCUGCAAAAACAAUAAGACAAGGACGAUGAAUGCAGUACGUAUGGGCAGUAUGUGGCCUCAGUUUUAAGGAAAUUGCCCGAGUUACAACGAGCAAAAACAAUGGCUUUGCUUAAUAAUGUAAUAAUGAAACAAAAUGUAGCGUAUUUAGAAAGUGAGCUGUCGAAAAGGGGUAUGAAUGUAGCAGGGCCAUCAUCAUCAAGUAACAAUUCCCCUGUUACAUUUACAAGUUAUGUAGACAGUGACAACGCAGUUGAAGAAGUUGUGUUUGACGAAUUAUGUAACGUAAUUGAGAAAUAAUAACACUUCGAAAAUGUGCUUAUUUAA